ACCUACUUGACUCAGCGGUUAGAGUAUCGCUUUCAUACGACAGCAGUCAUUGGUUCAAAUCCAAUAGUAGGUA
rnacentral:tRNA from 1 species